rnacentral:misc_RNA from 1 species
GAGUGUGUUUUCUCCAUUUUUCAUCCAUCUUCAAAGAUGAGAAACUUUGAAUGAUUGUUGUUUCUUGAGAAUUUGCUUGAAGGAACCAACACAACCACAAAUUGUAUAAUCACUUUAUUAAAGAGACCUACAAAUCUCUAAUCUGCAGAAAUUAAAUCUUGUAGGAAGGGACCUAUACAUGUCCAUAAAUUGCUAAAAACCUGUUUGAAAGGAUCAUGCAUGUCUAUAAACUGCCAAAUUUUGUGAAAUUAUUGCUGAAAGACUAUAAGCCAUCAUUUUAUGGAGUCUUGCUAUCAAUGAAGAGAUUUUUUUAUUCAUCUUUGUUUGAAGCUACUUGGAGAACGUAUAAACCAAACUGAUGUCUAAAGCCAACUGUUAUGGAAAG